rnacentral:rRNA from 1 species
AACGAACGCUGGCGGCAUGCCUAACACAUGCAAGUCGAACGAGACCUUCGGGUCUAGUGGCGCACGGGUGCGUAACGCGUGGGAACCUGCCCUUAGGUUCGGAAUAACUCCCCGAAAGGGGUGCUAAUACCGGAUAAUGUCUUCGGACCAAAGAUUUAUCGCCUUUGGAUGGGCCCGCGUUGGAUUAGCUAGUUGGUAGGGUAAAAGCCUACCAAGGCGACGAUCCAUAGCUGGUCUGAGAGGAUGAUCAGCCACACUGGGACUGGGACACGGCCCAGACUCCUGCGGAAGGCAGCAGUGGGGAAUAUUGGACAAUGGGCGAAAGCCUGAUCCAGCAAUGCCGCGUGAGUGAUGAAGGCCUUAGGGUUGUAAAGCUCUUUUACCCGGGAUGAUAAUGACAGUACCGGGAGAAUAAACUCCGGCUAACUCCGU